GACGAACGCUGGCGGCGUGCUUAACACAUGCAAGUCGAACGGAAAGGCCCUGCUUUUGUGGGGUGCUCGAGUGGCGAACGGGUGAGUAACACGUGAGUAACCUGCCCUUGACUUUGGGAUAACUUCAGGAAACUGGGGCUAAUACCGGAUAGGAGCUCCUGCUGCAUGGUGGGGGUUGGAAAGUUUCGGCGGUUGGGGAUGGACUCGCGGCUUAUCAGCUUGUUGGUGGGGUAGUGGCUUACCAAGGCUUUGACGGGUAGCCGGUCUGAGAGGGUGACCGGCCACAUUGGGACUGAGAUACGGCCCAGACUCCUACGGGAGGCAGCAGUGGUGAAUAUUGCACAAUGGGCGGAAGCCUGAUGCAGCAACGCCGCGUGCGGGAUGACGGCCUUCGGGUUGUAAACCGCUUUCGCCUGUGACGAAGCGUGAGUGACGGUAAUGGGUAAAGAAGCACCGGCUAACUACGUG
rnacentral:rRNA from 1 species